AGAGUUGAUCCUGGCUUAGGACAAACGCUGGCGGCGUGCCUAAUACAUGCAAGUCGAACGAGAAGCAGGAGCUUGCUCCUGUGGAAAGUGGCGGACGGGUGAGUAAUAUGUAGGAAAUCUGCCCUUAGGUGGGGGACAACAGUUGGAAACGACUGCUAAUACCGCAUAUGUGCUUGGUUGAAAUACCAAUCAUGAAAGAUUUAUUGCCUGAGGAUGAGCCUGCAUCUGAUUAGCUUGUUGGUGGUGUAAAGGACUACCAAGGCGACGAUCAGUAGCUGGUUUGAGAGGAUGAUCAGCCACAAUGGGACUGAGACACGGCCCAUACUCCUACGGGAGGCAGCAGUAGGGAAUUUUGCGCAAUGGGCGAAAGCCUGACGCAGCAAACCGCCGCGUGAGCGAUGAAGCCCCUCGGGGUGUAAAGCUCUGUCAGUAGGGAUGAAUUUUGACCGUACCUACAGAGGAAGCAUCGGCUAACUACGUGCCAGCAGCCGC
rnacentral:rRNA from 1 species